AAGAAAUAAAGCAAACAUACAAAAUAACAAUAUUUACGUGAUUCACCCUUUCAACAAAAUGCUACUUUUACGGACAUGCCAUCUUUCACUUUCAGUAACAAUAAAUCACCAAUUACAAGCUCAAAUAAUACCACCCAUCAACCCAAUUACGACCAAAAGAAUCCACACUACAUAACAUAACUGCUCAUAGUAAAUAAAUUAAUUAGUCCUCUCAUUCUCCUCUAGACAUAACUCAAUAUAUUUACUAGUACAACUACUACAUCACAAAGAGUAUCUUUAACUAUAUGGGCAAUAGCACUCUUACCAACAGACAAGAAUUCUUUCCUCUUGAAUUUUAUGUCUUUUCUACACUUUAAGCCGAAGCCUCUCUCCACUGCAAUAAUGGAUAAAAUCAAAUCCUCAACAAUUGACAAAGUCCCUUUCUAUAAUGAGCGAUAACCUCCCUCCAUGGAUAAAACCACUCUCCAUGGAUGGACGAAACCAAAUAAUCUUUCCACCAUUCUCCUAUUUAUAGUGUU
rnacentral:misc_RNA from 1 species